rnacentral:pre_miRNA from 13 species
AGUCUCCUAGUUUGAGGGACUGAUAUCAUUUUUAACGUGUCUCCUAUUUUUAGGGACC